rnacentral:rRNA from 1 species
UACGAAGGGGGCUAGCGUUGUUCGGAAUUACUGGGCGUAAAGCGCACGUAGGCGGGUCUGUAAGUAGGGGGUGAAAUCCCAGGGCUCAACCCUGGAACUGCCUUCUAGACUGCAGGCCUGGAGGUCAGGAGAGGCGAGUGGAAUUCCGAGUGUAGAGGUGAAAUUCGUAGAUAUUCGGAGGAACACCAGUGGCGAAGGCGACUCGCUGGACUGAUACUGACGCUGAGGUGCGAAAGCGUGGGGAGCGAACAGG